rnacentral:rRNA from 1 species
GAGUUUGAUCCUGGCUCAGGACGAACGCUGGCGGCACGCCUAACACAUGCAAGUCGAACGGAGAUAUUUUGGUUUACUGAGAUAUCUUAGUGGCGGACGGGUGAGUAACACGUGAGCAACCUGCCUCUGAGAGAGGGAUAGCUUCUGGAAACGGAUGGUAAUACCUCAUAACAUAACGAAGCCGCAUGACUUUGUUAUCAAAGAUUUAUCACUCAGAGAUGGGCUCGCGUCUGAUUAGAUAGUUGGUGAGGUAACGGCUCACCAAGUCGACGAUCARUAGCCGGACUGAKAKGUUGAACGGCCACAUUGGGACUGAGACACGGCCCAGACUCCUACGGGAGGCAGCAGUGGGGAAUAUUGCACAAUGGGGGAAACCCUGAUGCASCGAUGCCGCGUGGAGGAARAAGGUUUUCGGAUUGUAAACUCCUGUCUUAAAGGACKAUWAUGACGGUAC